rnacentral:rRNA from 1 species
UAACUGAGAUACGGUCCAGACUCCUACGGGAGGCAGCAGUGAGGAAUAUUCCACAAUGGGCGAAAGCCUGAUGGAGCAAUGCCGCGUGCAGGAUGAAGGCCUUCGGGUUGUAAACUGCUUUUAUAUGAGAAGACUAUGACGGUAACAUAUGAAUAAGGACCGGCUAACUACGUGCCAGCAGCCGCGGUAAUACGUAGGGUCAUC